AUUUUCCUAAAAUUCCAUUAAAGCUCUCUAACAAUUAUUAAAUUUGUUGAAGUAUAUUAAACUAAUAAAUAAGUGAACAUUUCAGUUGAUUUCUAGAGUUUUCAAAAAUCGAAACUUAAACCAAACAAUUUCCUAAUGACUUGAUUCUGUUCUGAACCAAAAUGUUGACAGGUCCGCCAACCCAAUGGUUUCAAAACCGCAUUCGUGUUCGCUAUCGGCAGUUUUCUUGUUCACCCUACAAUGAUCAAUUUGUUUUCUUGAUUAAAAAAAACUCCAUACAACAUUAUACAUGCAUUUAAACAGCUUAACAAGAACUAACAUUUAUCUUGAGAUAAUUAUACAACACAAAUCCUCAAGAAUUAAACCUUACCACCGAUUCACCAAAAGGUAAAACUAGUUCUCGUGAGCUUGUUCUCCCUGUCAUCUACAAAACUGAAACCUUGCUCUGCAUAUAGAGGAAGCUUAGGGUAAAUAUCCUAAAGUGUAAGCGAGCAAUCAAGAAUAUAAAAUGUCACUUCUUCGCCUCAUUAGAUCCACUCGUAUUUGCCUCUAUAGUUCAUGCAACAGCUCUCCGUGCAUAGUCCCCAAAGUGUUUUCUGACCACCCCCUCCAGAUUGAUUCUGCAAUAAAAUGGCAAUUAAAUUUAGUAUCAUGCGAUUGCAAGUACCUUCCUUUUCUCUUCCGGGUUGGCCAAGGCACAAGAAGAAAAUAAACAAAUGACAUCAAUUUGAAGGUAAAAACAAGAGCUUUUUUUAGACUCCAAAAUCAGUCAGUGCAACUCGAAU
rnacentral:lncRNA from 1 species